CUGCAGGCACAAAUGAGCUUGGUUUUCAAGCACUGCUCUUUGAACACAAGGAAUUCCUUUAAUGAUCACGCCGGACUAUAUAGACUUUGGAAUCAGACUCUUUGAAUUCCAGCUCUGCCAUUUACCAACUUUGACACUUUGGGUUUCCUGUUUGAAGGAGGAUUGGUGACUUCCCUUCCUUCAGACAAGCAAUGAUAACACAGUUGUGUUCCCUUGUGUGAGUCUGGGGUGACGUUGGCUCCUUGAGAAAUGAAAACUUUAUCAUAAGAAUCUGUGAAAAUGGGGAAAAUGGGAAAAGGAGGACAGAUUCAAAAUUGGAGGAAAACAGGAAAAUCUCUCUUCAUCUUUUCUAAUUGUUCUUUUAAUGAAAUCAGUACUGCCCUUUGGCAUUAAUGAUCGUAUGCGAAAGACAACGUCUCAUUCUGUCACCCAGGCUGGAGUGCAGUGGCACAAUUAUAGCUCACUGCAGCCUCAAACACCUGGGCUCAAGCAAUCCUUCCACCUCUGCCUCCUGAGUAAUUGGGACUACAGGGAUGGGGAAUGACUAUCUCCAAUUAAACUUCUCAGUAAAAU
ensembl:lncRNA novel transcript